GCGCUAUCAGAUGAGCCUAGGUCGGAUUAGCUAGUUGGUGAGGUAAUGGCUCACCAAGGCUACGAUCCGUAACUGGUCUGAGAGGAUGAUCAGUCACACUGGAACUGAGACACGGUCCAGACUCCUACGGGAGGCAGCAGUGGGGAAUAUUGGACAAUGGGCGAAAGCCUGAUCCAGACAGGCCGCGUGUGUGAAGAAGGUCUUCGGAUUGUAAAGCAAUAGAAGUGGGAGGAAGGGCAUUAACCUAAUACGUUA
rnacentral:rRNA from 1 species